AGCGAACGCUGGCGGCAGGCUUAACACAUGCAAGUCGAGCGGGCACUUCGGUGUCAGCGGCAGACGGGUGAGUAAGACGUGGGAACGUACCCUUCGGUUCGGAAUAACGCUGGGAAACUAGCGCUAAUACCGGAUACGCCCUUUUGGGGAAAGGUGUACUGCCGAAGGAUCGGCCCGUGUCUGUUUAGCUAGUUGGUGGUGUAAUGGCCUACCAUGGCGAUGAUCAUUAGCUGGUCUGAGAGGAUGACCCUCCACGCUGGGACUGAGACACGGCCCAGAGUCCUACGGGAGGCAGCAGUGGGGAAUAUUGGACAAUGAGCGCAAGCCUGAUCCAGCCAUGCGGCGUAUGUGAUGAAGGCCUUAGGGUUGUAAAGCUCUUUUUUCCGAGACGAUAGUGACGGUACCGGAAGAAUAAGCCCCGGCUAACUUCGUG
rnacentral:rRNA from 1 species